rnacentral:rRNA from 1 species
AACGAACGCUGGCGGCAUGCCUAACACAUGCAAGUCGAACGAUGCCUUCGGGCAUAGUGGCGCACGGGUGCGUAACGCGUGGGAAUCUGCCCUUGGGUUCGGAAUAACUCAGAGAAAUUUGAGCUAAUACCGGAUGAUGACGUAAGUCCAAAGAUUUAUCGCCCAAGGAUGAGCCCGCGUAAGAUUAGCUAGUUGGUGGGUAAAGGCCUACCAAGGCGACGAUCUUUAGCUGGUCUGAGAGGAUGAUCAGCCACACUGGGACUGAGACACGGCCCAGACUCCUACGGGAGGCAGCAGUGGGGAAUAUUGGACAAUGGGCGAAAGCCUGAUCCAGCAAUGCCGCGUGAGUGAUGAAGGCCUUAGGGUUGUAAAGCUCUUUUACCAGGGAUGAUAAUGACAGUACCUGGAGAAUAAGCUCCGGCUAACUCCGUG